AACGUCUUCAGUUCAUUUCAAUGCCGUCCCCAUCAGUUCCGCUCCAGUGCUGCAGCAGACAUGGUAUGGGGUACAAAAGGGGCACAUGCCCUCCAUCCUCGGUGGGUCUACAAAACUUGUUGGAGAGACGAGUUUAACCACAGGAACCAUCUGAGAACAAUACAACCCAGCAUCUGGUUAAAUGGGAGAAGAUCUGCAGAUUCCAUAGAGCUGGCAUGGAGCUGGAUAUCUUUCAGGAGGUAGAGUUUGCAUUAAAACACAUAACCACAACAAAGCAAGAGAAAGAGAGCAAUUGAUAAAACAGAGAUGGAGGCAGGCAUUCCAACAGCCACAUUGGAGCCUGCAGUGACCUUGAAGAUGUAUCCAUGUGCUGAAGAUGAUGGAGAAGAGAACAUGUGGCUGAGUCCCUGCUAACUAUGUAUCUGUCAUCACCUCUUUGGGCUGCCAUGCAAGGAAGGCCUCUUUGGAAAGUGAAAAAAUAAACUUAUAUGUCACUAAGUCACUUACUAAACUAGUGUUAUAUGCAGCUGAACUUAAUAACUGACACAUAUUCUGAAGAUGCUUGUUUUUCUCCUAUGGGUUUGGAACAGGUUAGCUAGUAAAGAUGAAAAUGGUGAUAAUGAUACUUGUCCCUCUGCUGGCUAGUGGGGAGAGGAAGCACUCAAUUGCUUUGGCCUUCCUCACUCAUCUGUCUUGUUGCUGUGAAGGGGGUCAAGGGCAUCCUCCAGUGGAGACAGAGCACAGGGAAGGCUCUGUCAUGGAUUGUCCUUGGCUCCAACUAUGCCACUGUGCUCUGUUGGUGACUGGGGAGGAGCCUGGUUAUACACAAAGACAACAAAAGGAGACAAAAUAGUUCUCCUUGGAACUAGACAGAAGAGAGAAUGAGAUUAAUUACAGAUUCAUUUUUGGCCAAAUCUUGCACUUAUUAUGGCAUGAUUCUUGAAAUUGCAAUAUGCACUAUGUAGGGGGAGGAAAACACUAUACCAGUUAUAAAUACUGAUCAAUACUAACAAGUGAACAAGACCUCUGACUCUGGCCAUAGGUUAGAUUAUCAUUUUUUAAUGAAGCAAAGAAAAGAAAGAGAUGUAAGAUAUUACCCGGUUUGUAGUAAAGAGGACAUGAAGGGAUUCAUUAGCUUUUUGGAGCUACAUGUAAUAUGCAAGGUCCCAAAUGAGAAAUUCUCUUAAUGUGAUAGCUCCAGCAAUUUCACCCAAAAUACUAACAUUAGUAAGGAAGUAGGUUAAAAAGGAAAGAAAAAGAAGGAAAGAGAGACAGAGAAAUUGAGAGAAAGGGGAGGAUAUAAAGACAAAAUGAAGGAAAGAAAAGAGAAAGCAAGUAAGCAAGCUAGGUCGCACUCUCAGAAACCCUCUGAUGGAACUUAUUCUAUCUCGUGAGUCAAAUGAAGACUCUCUCCUGGUACUGGGUUAGUGUUCGAGGGGUGAUUGAUUUAACUCAGGAAAGACCCCCCAGAGAGGUGGGUUUGUUCUACUCAGAGCAGCAGGACUCCCAGCCUGUCUCCUCUGAACUGAUGCACAGUCAGGGACUUCUGGGUCAUCCAUGGAUACCACAGACUCCACUAUGCCCCUUUCAGGAGGUAAUUCAAACCUCCUUUCUGGGCAGCAUGAUGUGGGUUAUAAUCCUGAUUUUGCCACUUAAAACCAGUGGGCUACUGGAUAAGUCACAUUACUUCUAGCAGUCUACUUUUUCCUAUGUCCAAAUACUGGGAAUUACAACCCUCCUUGGAAGAGUUGUUGGGAAGAAUGAAAGAGCCAGACUGGAAUUCUUGGUUGAGGGCUUGGCAGGAGAAGUAGCUGGAUACAGGAGACUCCUUCCCAGUACCUUUCUUCUUCCUCACCAUAGUUGGUAUUAGUGGAGAUGCCCUGGGCCGCUCCUGCUGAGAUUAUCCUGGGCCUGGGAUCAUGGGCAAGAAUACAGAUGUAUGCACACCUAGGGCAGAGCAGUGGGAGAGGUCCACCCAAUGACAGCAACAGGGGUGCUAAUCUUCAAAGCCAUUUAAAACAACAAUCGAAUGAAUGGAAGUGGGAUCUGCCUCAUAUUAUCAUCCUGGGCCCCCAAUCCUAAAUGAUGUUCUGAUAAAAUACUUUUUCCUGUUUUAUUUAAUGAUCUAAAUGUUAGGCAAUAGUUAUGGUUACUGUUGAAUUUACACACACACACACACAUACGCACACACUUCAGAUCGGCAUAUCUUAUUAUUUAUCUUAAAUAAGCAUUGUUUUCUAUGAAGUUAAUCCAGAGACUUCCUGGUUCAAUGAGAAUAAGCUUUUAUUUGGAGAAUUAGUUUAUGAUGGUUUGGAACCAUUUGAGCUUGCAUUGUCCAUUGUACUGCGUAUUCCUGCAUUUAAACAAUGGAUUUGAAAUAAACAAAGAUGGCAAAAAACAAAGAAACAGAACUGGAAUUGCCUCUUUUCUGUCAUCCUAUGUGAACAGUUUGAGUGUGUUUAAAAUUCGAAACAAUUUUCAAGUUGUUAAUUAUGUUUUUGUUAAGUAUAUUUUUGUUAAGUAUGGGACGUAAUUACGAGGCAUAUCUUUGUCAAGUGUAAACUAGUUCAUACAUGGAGUAUUUUUACUAAGUGUGAACAACAUCUUUAAAAUUAAA